CACAAGCAGGGCGAGCGCGUGGGAGUCUGGCCUGAAAAGAGCUUUUGAACUGCAGGUUCCGGAUAUGCAGAUGGACUGCUGAAUCCUGUCCUGAUGAGUUUGCUGUGGCGGAUUCUGCGCAUGCUCCGGAUUCAUUCUUGUCCAGCGCUCGCCGGGGAAGGAGCUUGCUUCCGUAGCUCCUGGAUGAAGGCCCCAUUCGCCCGGAUGGAUCCUCGGUUCGGCUUUGAGUGGCCUCAGGUAGCCGAGGGUCACUCGGAAUGCCGUUCUGGUUGCCGGGAUGCUCCUUGGGUCGCCUUGGAGGGUCAGAGGGCCCGCGGCAGUCGGGUGAAGAUCCGGAAGGCCUGGUCUGGCACGGUAGCUGCAUGCUGAAGUCCAUGCCCGCCGAUAGUUCUGGGUGCUUCGGAUGGGAUCGUCGGACUGGUGGUCAGCUGGAACUGGCUCCAGGACCGCAUGGAUGGGCUUUAAAUACCUAUGGGGCGGAGCUAAGGAAUAACAUGCCAGAUAUAAGACAUUAAAAGCUCUGAGCUAUGAGUGAAACUUUGGUGCUGUUUGUAAUGUCACAAGAUGUUUACAGCAUGGUGAAUGAUACAAAAUAUACAGAAGGUCACAGCAGCAAACUAAGCAUUGUGACUACAAGUUCGGAUUUUUAUGGUAAAAGAUUUUUAUGGUAAGCAUGUGUUUUGUAAAAUAAUUCUUUUCCUAGACCAUUAAUUUUUAUGAUCAAAUUAAAUUAACCUUGAGUGGCAUCAUUCAUACAGAAUUAGAAAAGCUCAAAUAGACAAAUACAAUGAGGAGAAAGGCAAGGGGAAGGAGGGGUGAACAUCAAAAGAGCAAGU